rnacentral:rRNA from 1 species
AGCAAUACGAGCGGCAGACGGGUGAGUAACGCGUGGGAAUCUACCCAUCUCUACGGAAUAACCCAGGGAAACUUGGAUUAAUACCGUAUACGUCCUUUUGGAGAAAGAUUUAUCGGAGAUGGAUGAGCCCGCGUUGGAUUAGCUAGUUGGUGGGGUAAUGGCCUACCAAGGCGACGAUCCAUAGCUGGUCUGAGAGGAUGAUCAGCCACACUGGGACUGAGACACGGCCCAGACUCCUACGGGAGGCAGCAGUGGGGAAUUGUUCGCAAUGGGCGCAAGCCUGACGACGCAACGCCGCGUGGAGGAUGAAGACUUUCGGG